CCCCGUCCCUCUGUGCCCGAGGGUCCUACAGCGCUGCUUUGUCUCCUGCCCAGGGAAGUGGUUUGUGAGCACGGGGAAGGACAACCUGCUCAACGCCUGGCGCACGCCCUAUGGAGCCAGCAUCUUCCAGUCCAAGGAAACUUCCUCCGUCCUCAGCUGCGACGUCUCCACCGACGAUCAGUUCAUCGUCACCGGCUCCGGAGACAAGAAGGCGACGGUCUACGAAGUCAUUUACUGAGAGUCUCGGAGGUGACGGCCUGGGUCUGUUCCCUGAGAGCAGACGGACUCACAGCCAUGGGGACGGACAGACGGACUCUGACACAGAGGGGUGGCAGCCCAGGCCUGGAGCCAUUGGCGAUGGGGACCCUGCAGUGCUGGGAGGCAGCUGCUGCUCGCAGGGCCCUUCCCAGAGGUUUCCUCCUCCUUUGGUUCGUUAUUGGUUGGUUUGUUUCUAAAUGGGGGUUGGGGGAGCGAAGGGGGCUUUCUUUUGUAAUGUCAUUUUUUUGUGGUUUUUUUUUUUUGUUAAAGUGCUGGGCUGGGCAGGAUGAGAGCUCUCCUCAUCUCCCCCUGCACCCAACCAGGGCAUAUUUAAUAAUAAAAAGCAAACAGCAGCGCGGUGCA